GCAAGCAGGUGACUGUAACCUGAACUCCUAAAAUGAACUGUUUCUAUCUUGUUCUACAGGUGUAAAGUCAAAUAUGCUGAAUGGCUCUCCAUCAACAAAUUAAAGAGGCAAAUAUAAAAUCCAGAUUUUUCAGAUUCUGAAAGCACAAGAAAGUUACCUGGAUCAGAGAAAACAGAUCCAGUUUUAUGGAGAGAAAAGGUAACUGUGAAAUGGUCUUCAUAUUCCCCAUGAAGAAUAUACAGUGUUGAAAGUGAAAGAGAAGGCAGAAGCCAUGGUUUAGUACCUGACACAGGCAAUUCAUCACCUGCAAAG
rnacentral:lncRNA from 1 species